rnacentral:rRNA from 1 species
AUGAACGCUGGCGGCGUGCCUAAUCCAUGCCAGUCGCGCGAACAGACGAGGAGCUUGCUCCUCUGACGUUAGCGGCGGACGGGUGAGUAACACGUGGAUAACCUACCUAUAAGACUGGGAUAACUUCGGGAAACCGGAGCUAAUACCGGAUAAUAUAUUGAACCGCAUGGUUCAAUAGUGAAAGACGGUUUUGCUGUCACUUAUAGAUGGAUCCGCGCCGCAUUGGCUAGUUGGUAAGGUAACGGCUUACCAAGGCAACGAUGCGUAGCCGACCUGAGAGGGUGAUCGGCCACACUGGAACUGAGACACGGUCCAGACUCCUACGGGAGGCAGCAGUAGGGAAUCUUCCGCAAUGGGCGAAAGCCUGACGGAGCAACGCCGCGUGAGUGAUGAAGGUCUUCGGAUCGUAAAACUCUGUUAUUAGAGAAGAACAAAUGUGUAAGUAACUAUGCACGUCUUGACGGUACCUAAUCAGAAAGCCACGGCUAACUACGUG